rnacentral:rRNA from 1 species
CCGCAUACGUCCUACGGGAGAAAGCAGGGGACCUUCGGGCCUUGCGCUAUCAGAUGAGCCUAGGUCGGAUUAGCUAGUUGGUGGGGUAAUGGCUCACCAAGGCGGACGGGGGCGUAACUGGUCUGAGAGGAUGAUCAGUCACACUGGAACUGAGACACGGUCCAGACUCCUACGGGAGGCAGCAGUGGGGAAUAUUGGACAAUGGGCGAAAGCCUGAUCCAGCCAUGCCGCGUGUGUGAAGAAGGUCUUCGGAUUGUAAAGCACUUUAAGUUGGGAGGAAGGGCAGUAAGCUAAUACCUUGCUGUUUUUUUGUUACCGACGGAGUAAGCACCGGCUAACUGUG